rnacentral:piRNA from 1 species
UAGGCACAUCCCUCUGGCUAUAGGGGUCUG